rnacentral:lncRNA from 1 species
CGUCGCAUUUAAAAAGAAAGUUCUGGAGGGUGGGGCCACCGAGAGGAGGGGGCAGCCGAGCUGCAGCGCCAGCCCCGCGCGUGCGCACAGGGACCGCCCGGCGCCCUGGGGGACCCACGGCGCCUGGACCGAAAAGCGUGGGGCGAAGGGGCUGCCCAGGCCUGGGUCCCUCUUGAGAACCAGCAGCACUAGAGCCCGGUGUGGUGGUGCAUGCCUGUGAUUGCAGCACCAGGGAGGCUGAGGAAGGAGGAUCUCCAGGCCAGGCUGGGCUACAAAGCGAGACCCUGUCAAACAAACGAACGAACGAACGAACGAGAAAACCAAAAAACAAAGAGGUGAGCGCAGCAGGAGUCACGACCAGGGAGACUGAAGUACAGCGCACAGACGCCAGAGGGAGCCAGAGGCUUCGAGCUCAGACAGGAAACGGGCAGAUGGGAAAUUACGCUGACAAAGCCGGACAGUUUAAAAGGCAGAAUAACAGAAUGCCACAACUGUGAGGAGAGAGGAAGAAGAGGAGGAGGCGGAGGAGGAAGGAGAAGAAAGAGCCCUCAUGACUCUGAACCUGCUGGCACACUGAUCUUGGACAUCCGUGACUCCUCACCACCUUCAAACAAAAGCAGAAGACAAAGCAAAGAACGCUUCAAAGCUUCACAGCUUUACAUCUCCAAGAUAAAAGUGAAGACUAUGCUGUGAUUCAUCUAAAAGACAAAGAGAGCCAGAUUUAAGCUGACGUCUCCUUCCAAUAUGGUUCAAUCUUCUUCAAUAUGUGGAUGUGAAGCAGGAAAUGCUUGACUUUCCUGCCACGUGGACUUCUCACUCCAUCUCUGAUGCUAAGAUCAAGUUGAUCAGAACCAGAUGACCAGGACAAGAAGCCGAGGACAGCAGAGAUGAACAGCAAGCCCAAGGGCCUGGACCAGGCCAGCAAAAAUCCAACUUCUCAUGCUCCUUCUUUUAGGAUUCUCUGAUCCUGCCCAGAGAAGCCCUGAUUCAUGGAGGCUCAACGCUGUCAUUCCACCAGCAACCUGCCAGUGGCUGGCUCUGCCAUGGCUGGUCUAUAAAUUCCUUCUCAAAGGAUAAUGAUGCAAUUAUUGUCCUUAUAACUAAUUUCUCCUCAGUACCCCCUUUCAUAGACCUCAAUACGUUACCUACUGAGUUUGUCUGUAUCCUCCUCACACCAAAUGUGUCCUGUGUUUUUUUCUUACCCUACCUAAAGAAUCACCUAUAAUGCUUUCUGUCCCUAAAUCCAAAAACCCCAUGGCUAUAAUAAAAAAAAAAUCAUAA